UACAGAGGGGGCAAGCGUUGUCCGGACUUACUGGGUGUAAAGCGCAUGCAGGUGGCUGUGCAAGUAUGCUGUGAAAGCCCCGUGCUUAACACGGGGAGGCCAGUAUAGACUGCACGGCUCGAGGACUGCAGAGGGUAGGGGGAAUUGCUGGUGUAGUGGUGAAAUGCGUAGAGAUCAGCAGGAACACCAAGGACGAAGGUACCUACCUGGGCAGUAUCUGACACUCAAGUGCGACAGCGUGGGGAGCGA
rnacentral:rRNA from 1 species